CUCCCUCUCGCCUUACCUCCCUGUCUUGCCCAUGAGCUCAGAUCGCUCUGGAUGACUUCGCAACCAUGAAGGGAAAACACAGUCUCUUCUUUAAGUCUCAGGUGUCACCUGCGCUGCUAAACCUUCCAUCCUGGCCCCUGACAUACUGCGUUCCCGUCUCACAGCACCCUAUAAAACAGUGAUGAUCAUGUGGAUGAUGAACUGGUCUGGAAACGGCAGCUGCUCUCCAUGUGCUGCGGGUCCAAGGGGACUGGGGAGCUCCUCUGUCUCAGGUCACAAGGAACCUACACUAGGGAGUCUGCAUCUGCUGUUUCCAGGAUUCAACUCACCUGCGCGGAGUGACUUUGCAGCCGGACACCUUUUGAGAGGAGGACACUUUAGUCAAAAGAUCCAUGAUGCUGGAACCACUCUGCCCGUCCACGGGGGCAGGGGGCCUGGUGAGAAGCCUGUAAAGAUCCAGCUACAAUCAGACAGCUGCCCACAGAGGCUGGGUUCACAAUCACAGCGCAUCGAUUUCCAAAGUGAUGCUCAAACCGAGGGGGUUU